UACGGAGGAUGCGAGCGUUAUCCGGAUUUAUUGGGUUUAAAGGGUGCGUAGGCGGAUAUGUAAGUCAGCGGUGAAACUCACAGGCUCAACCUGUGCCGUGCCGUUGAAACUGUGUAUCUGGAAUGCGGAUGCUGUGGGAGGAAUGUGUAGUGUAGCGGUGAAAUGCAUAGAUAUUACACAGAACACCGAUUGCGAAGGCAUCUCACAAAGCCAAGAUUGACGCUGAGGCACGAAAGUGUGGGGAU
rnacentral:rRNA from 1 species